AGAUCCAUAGCUUAGUGGUAGAGCAUUUAACCAUAGAUCAAGAGGUCAUUGGUUCAAACUUGGUUGGGCCUU